rnacentral:rRNA from 1 species
UACGGGGGGGGCAAGCGUUGUUCGGAAUUACUGGGCGUAAAGGGCUCGUAGGCGGCCAACUAAGUCGGACGUGAAAUCCCUCGGCUUAACCGGGGAACUGCGUCCGAUACUGGAUGGCUCGAGUUUGGGAGAGGGAGGUGGAAUUCCACGUGUAGCAGUGAAAUGCGUAGAGAUGUGGAGGAACACCGAUGGCGAAGGCAGCCUCCUGGGCCAGCACUGACGCUCAUGCACGAAAGCGUGGGGAGCAAACGGG